rnacentral:sRNA from 1 species
GCAGGUGAAUGCAACGCCAAGCGAUGGGCGUUGCGCUCCAUAUUGUCUUACUUCCUAAUUUUUGAAUUAUUGCAUAGCACAUUUAAUUCGUAACAUGCCGACUUUAGUCGGCAUUU